AACGAUGGUUUUUCAGGCCAUAGGUCUUGGGUCGAUUCCAAGUGAGAACUC
rnacentral:tRNA from 1 species